rnacentral:tRNA from 1 species
GGGGCAGUAGUUCAGCUGGGAGAACGCGUCGUUCGCAACGACGAGGUCAGGGGUUCGAAUCCCCUCUGCUCCACCA